rfam:Lupinus angustifolius cultivar Tanjil chromosome LG02, whole genome shotgun sequence.
UUCCAAGUGACAAUGAUGAUUAAUGUGAUCCCAGCUCUUUGAGGCCUUCUACAUUUGUUGUAGAAUGUCCGGGAAAAUAGAUAGUUCCACAUUUGUCUGAGCCUGAAA